AGAGUGAACGCUGGCGGCAGGCCUAACACAUGCAAGUCGAACGGCAGCACAGCAGAGCUUGCUCUGUGGGUGGCGAGUGGCGGACGGGUGAGGAAUACGUCGGAAUCUGCCUUUUUGUGGGGGAUAACGUAGGGAAACUUACGCUAAUACCGCAUACGACCUACGGGUGAAAGCGGAGGACCUUCGGGCUUCGCGCAGAAAGAUGAGCCGACGUCGGAUUAGCUAGUUGGAGGGUAAUGGCCCACCAAGGCGACGAUCCGUAGCCGGUCUGAGAGGAUGAUCAGCCACACUGGGACUGAGACACGGCCCAGACUCCUACGGAGGCAGCAGUGGGGAAUUUUGGACAAUGGGCGCAAGCCUGAUCCAGCAAUGCCGCGUGCAGGAAGAAGGCCUCGGUUGUAAACUGCUUUGUACGGAACGAAACGGUACCUGGUUAAAUACCUGGGCUAAUGACGGUACGUAAAGAAUAAAGCAACCGGCUAAACUACGUAGCCAGCAGCCG
rnacentral:rRNA from 1 species